rnacentral:rRNA from 1 species
GAUGAACGCUGGCGGCGUGCCUAAUACAUGCAAGUCGAGCGAACGGACGAGAAUUUUGCUUCUCUGAUGUUAGGGGCGGACGGGUGAGUAACACGUGUAUAACCGACCUAUAAGACUGGGAUAACUUCGGGAAACCGGAUCUAAUACCGGAUAAGAUUUUGAACCGCAGGGUUCAUAAGAGAAAGACGGUCUUGCUGUCACUAAUAGAUGGUUCCGCGCUGCUUUAGCUAGUUGGUAAGUACACGGCUUACCAAGGCUACGAUGCAUAGCCGACCUGAGAGGGUGAUCGGCCACACUGGAACGGAGACACGGUCCAGACUCCUACGGGAGGCAGCAGUAGGGAAUCUUCCGCAAUGGGCGAAAGCCUGACGGAGCAACGCCGCGUGAGUGAUGAAGGUCUUCGGAUCGUAAAGCUCUGUUAUUUGGGAAGAACAUAUGUGUCAGUAACUGUGGACAUCUUGACGGUACCUAAUCAAAAAGCCACGGCUAACUACGUG